UACGGAGGGUGCAAGCGUUAUCCGGAUUCACUGGGUUUAAAGGGUGCGUAGGUGGGCUAGUAAGUCCGUGGUGAAAUCCCCGAGCUUAACCCGGAACUGCCGUUGAUACUAUCUGUCUUGAAUAUCGUGGAGGUAAGCGGAAUAUGUCAUGUAGCGGUGAAAUGCUUAGAUAUGACAUAGAACACCCAUUGCGAAGGCAGCUUACUACACGAUCAUUGACGCUGAGGCACGAAAGCGUGGGGAGCAAACAGG
rnacentral:rRNA from 1 species